AAAACAUUUGCUUCUCACGUCAUACUCUUCUACCGUUCGAGCAAGGGAUGAUUUCGACCAACAUACCUCUCGGUGAGUCAUCUUGGAGCUCUAGGGUUCAAGUUCAAGCCAAUCGAAGAAAUGCCUGAUUAUUUCAUUGUUUCCCUUGUGGAACAAGGCCGUCUCUCUUCAUUCAGUUUGGCUAUAAACUUGUCAAGACAUGAUAUACUGAUCUUUGUUACUAAAUCUUGAACUCAACUUCAGACUCAAUUUAAAUCUUUCAUUCAGAAAAACAAAAUCCGAAACAACUUUUCCUUUAUAUUUUUGAAGUUUUUUUCAAGUGCCGAUUCAAUUGUCAAUUUUAAGUUCAAAGGAUAAUUUUUUCUUUCUCUCCAGUUGCUACAAAAAAAAAAAAAAAAAAAAAAGUCUAUCUCCAUGGGAUUAAAGGUAGCUUUGAUUAUGCAAGUCCAGUCCAACCCAAAAACAUAAGCCCUCAAACAACGCCUGUUGUUUUCUUGCAAGCAGAAGCAGCAGCAUUCAUGAGACACAUAGAGAAGGAAACCAGUCCACCUUCGCCUUUCUCUCCACCUACAACGGAAAACAUAGAAAGCAAUCGCCUCUUGUAUCCCUCUCUUUAUUUUUCUCCCUUUCCUUCAGGUCUGGUCUAAGUACGCUGCGUUAGAAGACGACAAGUGUGCUCUAAAAUUAGAGAUGGGAGUCCUGUAUCUGAUUUUUCUCCCUUUCCCUCUCUUCCCCUUUUUUGUUGCACGAUGGUGAUUAAUAUGGGUAAUUCAGAAAUGUUUUGUUGGCUUGGUGUGUUUUCUGUAAAGGGCUGAGUGUGCUUUGCUAAUGGCGUAGCUUGCCCUCCUCCUAUUUCUCCCUGGUUUGUAAUGAGGCUGGCGAUAAUCCAUCUUUUCGUGUCGUUCUUGCUGUUUCUGUUGAUAGUUCAUGUCAAUUUUUGGAUAGGUUUUGGUUGCUCAAGAUUCUCACGAAUGAGUUGUCUAGAUACAGAUCACAGAUUAAUAAUAAUAGGCAGUUUAACUCAAUAUAUUUGCGUUGUACCGGAUUAUCUGCGUUCUAACAGGUCCACACAACUCACAAGAAAGUUCAGCUCUGAUAGAAUUUUGAACACAUAUAGUAGAUUGGCCAUGCUAUUGUAUCCUAUUCCUACAAGAAGCCGCCUUAAUUAGUGUGAAGAGACUAGUUCACUCCAUGUUUGAGCACAACAUGUCUGCAAUUUCUGUUCUUUAGCAGUGUUAAUCACUCUUGAUUGAAUUGAACACCUCCUUAGGCAGACCGACCCCAGUUGCCAUCCCAAGUUAUCUAGAACAGCAAUUGGUUCUUGUGGUAAUUCAAAUUCGAUCAUCCUUCUCGCUGUCCAAGUUUAAACGUUAUGAAUUCAUGUUUUCAUGUUUAGCAAGGCUGGUUAAUGAUCUUUGUUGUGUGA